UCUUGACCUCAAAUCAGGUAGGACUACCCGCUGAACUUAAGCAUAUCAAA
rnacentral:rRNA from 1 species